GUACUGUCUAUCAGCCAUAUGUAAUGGUCUUACUCCAUACAUAUACAGUUCCUAGUAGGUUAUAUUUUCCAGCAGGGCCAGAUUGGGAAACAAACUGACUCAGGCAUUUUAUAAUCACAGCAGCCCAGUGAAAAGGGGGCAGGGCCAGAAAGGGGCUGUUUUGUUUAUGUAUAUAGAGGGUCUAGUGUGUGUGUAGGGGAUCAAGAGUUUGUAUAAGGGAUGAAGUGUGUGUAUAAG